rnacentral:other from 1 species
CGCUAUCAUCAUUUAUUUCAUUAUUACCUUCAUUCACCCCGAAUGAGAGAUUUACCCUAAUUCCCGCCGGACAUGAUUGUCCGGCAUUUUUU